rnacentral:rRNA from 1 species
AGUGAACGCUGGCGGUAGGCCUAACACAUGCGAGUCGAACGGCAGCACAGUAAGAGCUUGCUCUUACGGGUGGCGAGUGGCGGACGGGUGAGGAAUACAUCGGAAUCUACUUUUUCGUGGGGGAUAACGUAGGGAAACUUACGCUAAUACCGCAUACGACCUACGGGUGAAAGCAGGGGAUCUUCGGACCUUGCGCGAUUGAAUGAGCCGAUGUCGGAUUAGCUAGUUGGCGGGGUAAAGGCCCACCAAGGCGACGAUCCGUAGCUGGUCUGAGAGGAUGAUCAGCCACACUGAAACUGGGACACGGUCCAGACUCCUACGGGAGGCAGCAGUGGGGAAUAUUGGACAAUGGGCGCAAGCCUGAUCCAGCCAUACCGCGUGGGUGAAGAAGGCCUUCGGGUUGUAAAGCCCUUUUGUUGGGAAAGAAAAGCAGCAGGUUAAUACCCCGCUGUUCUGACGGUACCCAAAGAAUAAGCACCGGCUAACUUCGUG